CCUACGGGGGGCUGCAGUGGGGAAUAUUGGACAAUGGGCGAAAGCCUGAUCCAGCCAUGCCGCGUGUGUGAAGAAGGCCUUCGGGUUGUAAAGCACUUUCAGUGGGGAAGAAAGCCUUGGGGCUAAUACCCUCGAGGAAGGACAUCACCCACAGAAGAAGCACCGGCUAACUCCGUGCCAGCAGCCGCGGUAAUACGGAGGGUGCGAGCGUUAAUCGGAAUUACUGGGCGUAAAGCGCGCGUAGGCGGUCUGAUAAGCCGGUUGUGAAAGCCCCGGGCUCAACCUGGGAACGGCAUCCGGAACUGUCAGGCUAGAGUGCAGGAGAGGAAGGUAGAAUUCCAGGUGUAGCGGUGAAAUGCGUAGAGAUCGGGAGGAAUACCAGUGGCGAAGGCGGCCCUCUGGACUGACACUGACGCUGAGGUGCGAAAGCGUGGGUAGCAAACAGGAUUAGAUACCCGAGUAGUC
rnacentral:rRNA from 1 species